GACGAACGCUGGCGGCGUGCUUAACACAUGCAAGUCGAACGGUAAGGCCCUUCGGGGUACACGAGUGGCGAACGGGUGAGUAACACGUGGGUGAUCUGCCCUGCACUUCGGGAUAAGCCUGGGAAACUGGGUCUAAUACCGGAUAGGACCACUGCCUGCAUGGGUGGUGGUGGAAAGCUUUUGCGGUGUGGGAUGGGCCCGCGGCCUAUCAGCUUGUUGGGUGGGUGAUGGCCUACCAAGGCGACGACGGGUAGCCGGCCUGAGAGGGUGACCGGCCACACUGGGACUGAGAUAGGGCCCAGACUCCUACGGGAGGCAUCAGUGGGGAAUAUUGCACAACAGGCGCAAGCCUGAUGCAGCGACGCCGCGUGAGGGAUGACGGCCUUCGGGUUGUAAACCUCUUUCAGCACCGACGAAGCGCAAGUGACGGUAGGUGCAGAAGAAGGACCGGCCAACUACGUGCCAGCCGCCGCCGUAA
rnacentral:rRNA from 1 species